rnacentral:rRNA from 1 species
ACUGCUCAGUAACACGUGGAUAACCUGCCCUUGGGUCCGGCAUAACCCCGGAAACUGGGGAUAAUUCCGGAUAACGCAUAUGUGCUGGAAUGCUUUAUGUGUGAAAUGGAUUCGUCUGCCCAAGGAUGGGUCUGCGGCCUAUCAGGUAGUAGUGGGUGUAAUGGACCUACUAGCCAACAACGGGUACGGGUUGUGAGAGCAAGAGCCCGGAGAUGGAUUCUGAGACAUGAAUCCAGGCCCUACGGGGCGCAGCAGGCGCGAAAACUUUACAAUGCGGGAAACCGUGAUAAGGGGACACCGAGUGCCAGCAUCAUAUGCUGGCUGUCCAGGUGUGUAAAAUACACCUGUUAGCAAGGGCCGGGCAAGACCGGUGCCAGCCGCCGCGGUAACACCGGCGGCCCGAGUGGUGAUCGUGAUUAUUGGGUCUAAAGGGUCCGUAGCCGGUUUGGUCAGUCCUCCGGGAAAUCUGAUAGCUCAACUAUUAGGCUUUCGGGGGAUACUGCCAGACUUGGAACCGGGAGAGGUAAGAGGUACUACAGGGGUAGGAGUGAAAUCUUGUAAUCCCUGUGGGACCACCUGUGGCGAAGGCGUCUUACCAGAACGGGUUCGACGGUGAGGGACGAAAGCUGGGGGCACGAACCGGAUUAGAUACCCGGGUAGUCCCAGCCGUAAACGAUGCUCGCUAGGUGUCAGGCAUGGCGCGACCGUGUCUGGUGCCGCAGGGAAGCCGUGAAGCGAGCCACCUGGGAAGUACGGCCGCAAGGCUGAAACUUAAAGGAAUUGGCGGGGGAGCA